AUUAAGUACAGUUAUAGUUUCAGUGCUGAACUUUAAUCACUCAUUUUAUUUGAAAUAUUUUUACGAUUAGUACUUUUAUGAAUAGUGCUUUUAUACUUGACUUAACUUUGAAAUAUUUUUUAUAAAUUUUUUAAAUAAGAUGGACACUAAAACGUUGGACACGAAAACUUACUGUUGAACAUUAU
rnacentral:pre_miRNA from 1 species